AUUGAACGCUGGCGGCAGGCCUAACACAUGCAAGUCGAGCGGUAACAGGGAUAGCUUGCUAUCUGCUGACGAGCGGCGGACGGGUGCGUAACACGUAGGAAUCUACCCAGUAGCGGGGGAUAGCCCGGAGAAAUCCGGAUUAAUACCGCAUACGCCCUACGGGGGAAAGCAGGGGAUCUUCGGACCUUGCACUAUUGGAUGAGCCUGCGUCGGAUUAGCUAGUUGGUGGGGUAAAGGCCUACCAAGGCGACGA
rnacentral:rRNA from 1 species